AGGACACACUCGGUACUGCUGGGUUUGGAAAGAACCAGUCAAAGCAGUGUUGGCUUCCUGAAUCAAACAACACCACAGUACCUAUUUCUCCUGAGAGAGGUAGUGUUACAGCUCUUGGAUGUGACAGUGGUAUCUGAUUGUUCCCAGCUGCCGAUCCUUUGUCAGCAGAUUCCAACGCAUGGGGUAUGCCAUUAGCAGUACAGUAGGUACAAAUUCCAGAUCCC
rnacentral:lncRNA from 1 species